GCACUGUUAGCGAAGGGAACCUUGAUAUGACAUUUGGCCUUGGGUUUGAAGUCACUAGAGAUAACAUCCCAAAGUCUGUAUCGAAUCCUAAAGUUGAGCCUCACAUAAAAUUCGUAAGCGCCUUCACUAUUGUCUUGUUCAACUGAGACACUUGUUCAUUGUCUAGUGUCACCACCUGUUGGCCCGAGAAAACAGCGCUCAUAGGGCUGCUGCUC
rnacentral:lncRNA from 1 species